rnacentral:rRNA from 1 species
GGAUCCAGACUUUGAUUCUGGCUCAGGACGAACGCUGGCGGCGCGCCUAACACAUGCAAGUCGAACGAGCGAGAGAGAGCUUGCUUUCUCAAGCGAGUGGCGAACGGGUGAGUAACGCGUGAGGAACCUGCCUCAAAGAGGGGGACAACAGUUGGAAACGACUGCUAAUACCGCAUAAGCCCACGGGUCGGCAUCGACCAGAGGGAAAAGGAGCAAUCCGCUUUGAGAUGGCCUCGCGUCCGAUUAGCUAGUUGGUGAGGUAAUGGCCCACCAAGGCAACGAUCGGUAGCCGGACUGAGAGGUUGAACGGCCACAUUGGGACUGAGACACGGCCCAGACUCCUACGGGAGGCAGCAGUGGGGAAUAUUGCACAAUGGGGGAAACCCUGAUGCAGCGACCC